rnacentral:tRNA from 1 species
GAGGCUAUAGCUCAGUGGUAGAGUCCAUGCGUAGCAUGCGUGAUGUCCUGGGUUCAAUCCCCAGUCCCUCCA